CCCUCCGGACGCCCGGCCAACGGCGGCGGCGGCGGCGGCUAGUCCGCGGCCCUGCCGGGAGGGAAGGCGACGCGGCGGUCUUCCCGGGCGACGCGGAGAACAGUAGUUCCAGAGAACUGCUGGUUUAUAUUUUAACUCUUGCCAAGUUGUGAAAAUAGUGAAGGAUGCUUAGACUACGUAACAUUCAAAUUGCUCUCUGGUUAUUCAUCUUCAGAAGACUGGAUUUCUGGAUAUCUACUCCACUCCUUCUCUGUGGACUUUUAAAACAUGACAGUGCAAACCUGUAACACUGGCAAUCAUCCAUGAACCUUUAAUUACGUCGACUGAUUGCGUUUGAAGCUUCCUCAGGGAAUAAACAAUGACAUCAGCAGUAGUUGACAGUGGAGGUUCUGUUUUGGAGCUUUCCAGCAGUGGAGUAGAAAAUCAAGAGGAAAGUGGGAAGGUUUCUGAAUAUCCAGCAGUGAUUGUGGAGCCAGUUCCAGGUGCCAGAUUAGAGCAGGGCUAUGCAGCCCAGGUUCUGGUUUAUGACGAUGAGACUUAUAUGAUGCAAGAUGUGGCAGAAGAACAAGAAGUUGAGACCGAGAAUGUGGAAACAGUGGAAGCAUCAGUUCAUAGCAGUAAUGCACACUGUACGGAUAAGACAAUUGAAGCUGCUGAAGCCCUGCUUCAUAUGGAAUCUCCUACCUGCUUGAGAGAUUCAAGAAGUCCUGUGGAAGUGUUUGUCCCUCCUUGUGUAUCAACUCCAGAAUUUAUCCAUGCUGCUAUGAGGCCGGAUGUCAUUACAGAAACUGUAGUGGAGGUGUCAACUGAAGAAUCUGAACCAAUGGAUACCUCUCCUCUUCCUACGUCACCAGAUAGCCAUGAACCAAUGAAAAAGAAGAAAGCUCAAAGGGCUUCGCAGAUUAUCAGAUCCUCUGCAAUCGUUGGCCGUAAACCAAAGACCCAGCAGUCGCCAAUUUCCAAUGGGUCUCCUGAGUUAGGUAUAAAGAAGAAACCCAGAGAAGGAAAAGGAAAUACAACCUAUUUGUGGGAGUUUCUUUUAGAUCUACUUCAAGAUAAAAAUACUUGUCCCCGGUAUAUUAAGUGGACUCAGAGAGAAAAAGGCAUAUUCAAGCUUGUGGAUUCAAAGGCUGUCUCUAAGCUUUGGGGAAAGCAUAAGAACAAGCCAGACAUGAACUAUGAAACUAUGGGACGAGCUCUGAGAUACUAUUACCAAAGGGGUAUUCUCGCAAAGGUUGAAGGACAGAGGCUUGUGUAUCAGUUCAAGGAUAUGCCCAAGAACAUAGUGGUCAUAGACGAUGACAAAAGUGAGGCCUGUAACGAGGAUGUAGCAACGGCUGCUGCCGGGGAGUCACUAGAGCGCGUGUCACUGUCUGCAGAAAGCCUCUUGAAAGCAGCAGCUUCUGUGCGUGGUGGCAAAAACUCGUCUCCUCUGAACUGCUCCAAAGCAGAGAAGGGUGUAGCCAGAGUUGUGAACAUCACUCCCCCUGGUCAUGAGGCUUCGUCCAGGUCUCCUACUACUACCGCAUCUGUGUCAGCAACAGCAGCUCCAAGGACAGUUCGUGUGGCAAUGCAAGUGCCUGUUGUGAUGACAUCGUUGGGGCAGAAAAUUUCAACUGUGGCCGUUCAGUCAGUUAACGCAGGUGCACCACUGAUAACCAGCAGUAGCCCAACAACAGCGGCCUCUCCGAAGGUAGUGAUUCAGACAAUCCCUACUGUGGUGCCAGCCUCCACUGAAAAUGCAGACAAAAUCACCAUGCAGCCUGCCAAAAUUAUUACCAUCCCAGCUACACAGCUCGCACAGUGUCAGCUGCAGACAAAAUCAAACCUGCCUGGAUCAGGAAGCAUUAACAUUGUUGGAACGCCACUGGCGGUGAGAGCGCUCACCCCGGUUUCAAUAGCCCACGGCGCGCCUGUCAUGAGGCUGGCAGUGCCGCCUCAACAGGCAUCUGGCCAGACUCCUCCCCGAGUUAUCAGCGCCGUCAUAAAAGGGCCAGAGAUUAAAUCGGAAGCAGUGGCCAAAAAGCAGGAACAUGACGUGAAAACUUUGCAGCUGGUACAGGAAGAAAAACCGGCAGAUGGAAAUAAGACAGUGACCCACGUAGUGGUUGUCAGUGCGCCUUCAGCUCUUGCCCUUCCCGUAACUAUGAAAACGGAGGGACUGGUGACAUGUGAGAAAUAAAAGAGCAGCUCUCCCGUGGGCGCUAGAAUGUUAGUGCUAGUCCUGACAUUAAGCAUUUGCAAGGACGUCAUCAAGAGAAGUCAGAAGACUUUAAAACAUUUUUAAUGCAUAUAAGAAAACAAUCAGACUUACUGGAAAUAAAUUACCUAUCCCAUGUUUCAGUGGGAAGUGAACUACAUGUUGAGACGCUGACAGAAAACUGCCUCUUACAGUAGGAAACAACUGAACCCGUCAAUGAGAAGAAGGAUUGAAAGGGACCAAGCAACUCACUACAAUAUCAAGUUACACUAAGACUUGGAACACUAACAUUCUUGUAUCAGAGAAGAACCACAUAACAAUGACUUGAUGCGGCUACAUUUUCCAGUCUGGCCAGGCUUUUGAACAGUGAUCAGCAGUCGGCCCAUUUAUUCCUUGGGUCGCCUUCCAGCAGCAGUCCCAGCCUUUUCGCCACCACCCUGCUUACCAAAUGGCCAGUAUACCUCUUCAGAGAGAACGCUGAGGUCGUGAGCUGUGAACUCCGUUUCUGGACCCCUUGCUGCAAGAGCAUCUACGUAUUCCAGCCUCCGUCCUCAACAAACAGCCACCUCGGGGAGGAGGCAGGUGUGCCUCCCUUCCCGUACUCACCACCUUCUCCCCUUUCGCACCUCCUUGGUUGCCUUGUUCCAACAGCCCGUAUUCUUCAGAAGCCUGCGGUCAGUUCUGCUCAGAAACGCUUCCCACUGGGGUCUCCAGCAACCCAACAGUCACAUCAAACAGGGGCUUCGUUUUUUCAUGUGAUCAGCCUACGUCUUAAAAUUCCCCUUUGAUUUCCCGUGACCCCCUCCUUCUGGUUUACUUCCUGCCUGACCGACUCUACUUUCUUAGUCCACUUUGUUUUCCUUCAGCUUUCCCACUUAAAGGCAGCACUUACCACGGGGCUCUCUUCCCCGUAGUUAUAUUUACUAUUACGAUUUUGCUUCAACAUAACUGUUAGAUAACCUCAUCCACGCACGUGGUUUUUACUACCAAAUCUAUUGUUCUAGGCUAGACUGAAAGAUGGGUUUAAUUACCUGCCGGCUGCUUCCUCCUGAGUGUCCAAUGGAACUCUCCUCUCUCGAAAAUCUACUCCUCUUAGCUUAACAAAUGACACCGCGUGAAGGCCGUUCUAGACCCUUUGCUUCCUAUAUCCAGUCUUUUACCAAGUCCUGUUGAUGGUACCUUCUAAACAGCUUCCUUUCCCAUCUUCCCCACCUUACUGCUUUGUCUUCUCAAGCCUCUCUGUAGUCCGUCUCCCGUGCUACCAGAUGAGAGCUUUCUAAAAUGUGUUCUUCCGUCACUUCCUUGCGACUGCUUUAAAUUCUUCAACGGCAUCUCUUGCUAAAAAGAUAAAUAUCCAAAGCAUAAAACUCUUUAUUAAUAAAGUCCUUUGACCUAGCACCUGCCUACGUUCCCAAGCCUUAGUCUCUGGCCACCCCCGUUUUGGGCAUCUCCGGGCCACAGACCUACUGACAUGUAUUUUUUCCCAAAUAUUUUAGGCACCCAUACCUCGUUGGGCCAUGCCACUGAUGGCUUCUCUCUGGACCGCUUUUCCUUCCUUCACCUAGAUUUGAGUUGGAGGUGACAGACAUCAAAAUAUUUCUGAAAUAAAUAGGCUUGGAAACCAUUCAGGGUGGGGAGUGGUCUUAACUCUGAGUGAAUUCUGAGUAAAAGAUUGAAAAGCAUCAAGUAUAUAAAGACAACACGGGCUAGGGGAGAGGAAGAGUAACCCAGCAAUGGAGACCAGGGACUAUUCAUGGUUAACAGGACAGCUGAGGUCAAGAUAACGGUGGGCCAACAGUAUCACGCGUACCAGGAAGGGCCAAGCAAAUAAGAAGCCACCAGCAUUGACACAGCGACAAGAGAGGGGCAGUUCCAGUAAGGGGUUGGCCGUGAAACCAGGAUGUAAGGGACAACGGCGCCUGAUUCGUUACCAGCCACUCGCCUCUGACACCUGGCAUGCUUCAGGGAGUGCGUCUCUGAUCACUGUAUACGAACAAGUCGUGUUUAACGAUAACAAAAACAAAAUUCGGGCUUUUACCUACAAAGCAUCCCGUGAUCCUUUCAGCCCCCUGGUCUAUCUUAUGGGAGGGCAUUACAGAGCAUAUUUUUGGGAGGCAAGAGGAGCCCUACUUUUAGUUCCACAGCCAACACGGCAAGUUCACAGUGCAGGUCCUUUGUGGUUGUGGUUCAUCUGUCCUUUAGUCCCUCGGUUAUAUCGUUGUCCUCCACAGUUGUAACCUAAUUCUGUGCGGACUCGGUGCACAGUGCCGCCAGUCCUUACGAGAAUGAGAUACGCUUCCCCGUUUGCAAGUGCACUGACUCGCCUCCUGCAUCACACCAGAAACCUCUGAAAAACAAGUGCAGCAGGGAGACUCACGGGCAUAUACUUCCUUUUACUGUGCUGCACUCUGCAGGUGCUUCGUUUUAUACAAAUGGAAGGUCUGCGGCAACACUGCGGUCGGGCAAGUCUAUCGGCGCCCUUAUAUCCCACAGCAUUUCCUCACUUCCUGCCUUGUGUCUUUGGCAACGCUCCCGGUAUUUCAAACCCUCCAGAGAAGAUUACGGCUUACCGAAGGGUCAGAUGAUGGCUAGAUUCUUCUAGCAAUAAAGUAUUUUUCAAUUAAGGUA